GUAUUAUUAUGUUUCCGUUUUUUUUUUUCUUACAUAUAGUGCAUCAUCAAUCUGUGAACUUUAAAACGUUCAAAAAGUAAACAAGAAACAGGAAAAUGUGAAUGUCAGAACGACUUUAAUUAUAAAUGAUUAUGGCUCAAAUAUUUGCUGUCAUUUUCCUUUUGUCACAACUACAAGUAAGUUUCUCCCAAAGUCUGGACACAAGAAACGGCGAUGAUAAAUGUGUACCGGGUGGAUUGGAAGAUUCCCUGCUGUCAUUAAAAAUGUAUUUAGACUCCCAACUACAAGAGUUGGAGCAAAAAGUAAAAAAAGAAAACACACAGAGAUUCCAAAAUCUUCAAAUACAGAUAAGCAACUUAAAAGGUUUAUAAUUCAAAUUACAGAGUAU